rnacentral:rRNA from 1 species
AGAGUUUGAUCAUGGCUCAGGAUGAACGCUAGCGACAGGCCUAACACAUGCAAGUCGAGGGGCAUCGGGACGUAGCAAUACGUUGCCGGCGACCGGCGGAUGGGUGAGUAACGCGUAUGCAACCUACCCGUAGCAGGGGGAUAGCCCGUUGAAAGACGGAUUAAUACCCCGUAACACAGGGGCUCCGCAUGGAGAUUAUUGUUAAAGGGUCAUUUCUUUUUCAGGGAUGGUCCGGCUGCGGAUGGGCAUGCGUUCCAUUAGGUAGUUGGUGUAGGUAAUGGCUCACCAAGCCGACGAUGGAUAGGGGAACUGAGAGGUUGGUCCCCCACACUGGUACUGAGACACGGACCAGACUCCUACGGGAGGCAGCAGUGAGGAAUUUUGGUCAAUGGACGCAAGUCUGAACCAGCCAUGUCGCGUGAAGGAGGACGGCCCUAAGGGUUGUAAACUUCUUUUGCAGUGGAAUAAAGUUUGCCACGUGUUGGCGAUUUGCAAGUACGCUGCGAAUAAGGAUCGGCUAACUCCGUGCCAGCAGCCGCGGUAAUACGGAGGAUCCGGGCGUUAUCCGGAUUUAUUGGGUUUAAAGGGUGCGCAGGCGGGGAAUUAGGUCGGCGGUGAAAUUUCGGGGCUCAACCUCGACAGUGCCGUUGAAACCGUUUCUCUUGAGUGCGGAUGAGGUAGGCGGAAUUUGUGGUGUAGCGGUGAAAUGCGUAGAUAUCACAAGGAACACCGAUUGCGGAGGCAGCUUACUAAACCGUUACUGACGCUCAUGCACGAAGGCGUGGGGAUCAAACAGGAUUAGAUACCCUGUAGUCCACGCAGUAAACGAUGAUUACUUGCUGUUUGCGAUACACAGUAAGCGGCGAAGCGAAAGCGUUAAGUAAUCCACCUGGGGAGUACGUUCGCAAGAAUGAAACUCAAAGGAAUUGACGGGG